rnacentral:lncRNA from 1 species
UUACCCUCUCUCUCUCUAUGUAACGCCCGUGUCCCCUGUCUUCUCUUCCCCUCAUUGCAUCACUCUGUCUUCCUCCUCUCUAUAACUCAUUCUUCUCCACAACCACCAUAUCCUCUCUUUCUCUCUAUAUAACUCCCGUGUCCUUCCUCUCCCCUUCUUCUCCCUGCGUCUCUCCGUCUUUCCCAAUCUCUGUAACUCCCCAUUCUUCUCUAACCACUACGAGUCUUUGCAAAAGAGACACCACACAUCCUUUUUAAUCCAAACCCUUACAAGCUUCAAUCGAACAAUCGACAUAAACCGAUCAUUUCCUCAUCAAUAUAUCCAAUGGUCGAGAUCAUACGAGAUUUGUUGGAACUUUUUCCACGGUCCAGAUCAUACGA